rnacentral:rRNA from 1 species
ACAGAGGGUGCGAGCGUUAAUCGGAGUUACUGGGCGUAAAGGGCGCGUAGGCGGUUUUGUGUGUGUGAUGUGAAAGCCCUGGGCUUAACCUAGGAAGUGCAUCGCAAACUACAGAACUGGAGUAUAAGAGAGGGUGGCGGAAUUUCCGGUGUAGCGGUGAAAUGCGUAGAGAUCGGAAGGAACGUCAAUGGCGAAGGCAGCCACCUGGCUUAAUACUGACGCUGAAGCGCGAAAGCGUGGGGAGCGAACGGGA